rnacentral:rRNA from 1 species
AUACGGAGACUACGAGCGUUACUCGGAUUCACUGGGCGUAAAGGGAGCGCAGGCGGAAUGGUGUGUUAGGUGUGAAAUCCCGGGGCUUAACUCCGGAAUUGCGUCUAAAACUACUAUUCUAGAGACUUGGAGAGGUAAGCGGAAUUUCUGGUGUAGCGGUAAAAUGCGUAGAUAUCAGAAGGAACACCGAUGGCGAAGGCAGCUUACUGGACAAGAUCUGACGCUCAUGCUCGAAAGCGUGGGGAGC